UCCAACGGUUGCACCGGCUAAACCACUGGUUCCCAAAGUUACAACUCCAACAGCUGCACCUGUGAAACCAAUAGUUCCAAAAACUACAACUCCAACAUCUGCUCCUUUGAAACCACCAGUUCCGAAAGCUCCCGCACCAAAACCUUCUCCUGUGAAACCACCAGUUCCAAAAUCAAAACCUCCAACAACUGCUCCUGUCAAAUCACCAGUUCCGGAUCCUCCAAAACUCGCUCCUGUAAAGUUGCCAGUCCCAAAGGUUACACCGGCAUUAAGCCCAAAAACCCCAUCCCCUAAAAUUCAACCACCACCACAUCCACCCAAAAAAGCACCUGUUUCUCUACCACCAUUAUCUAUACCACCUGUUUCACUUCCACCAUUACCAUUACCACCAGCUUCUAAACCACCAAAGGUAUCCCCAGCACCUGCAAAGGUUCCAAAAGCACCAGCACCGGCCAAAGAAGCACCAGCACCAGCACCUACACACAAAAAGAAAGCACCAGCACCCGCACCAGACAAAGAAACACCGGCACCAGCACCUACACACAAAAAGAAGAAAGCACCAAAAUCAUCACCUGUUCCUUCCCCAGCAAUUCUCCCACCAUCACCUGCACCAACACCUGCAAUAGACACACCAUCAUCAGCAC
rnacentral:lncRNA from 1 species